rnacentral:rRNA from 1 species
CCUACGGGAGGCCGCAGUGGGGGAUAUUGCACAAUGGGCGCAAGCCUGAUGCAGCCAUGCCGCGUGUGUGAAGAAGGCCUUCGGGUUGUAAAGCACUUUCAGCGGGGAGGAAGGCGUUAAGGUUAAUAAUCUUGUCGAUUGACGUUACCCGCAGAAGAAGCACCGGCUAACUCCGUGCCAGCAGCCGCGGUAAUACGGAGGGUGCAAGCGUUAAUCGGAAUUACUGGGCGUAAAGCGCACGCAGGCGGUCUGUCAAGUCGGAUGUGAAAUCCCCGGGCUCAACCUGGGAACUGCAUUCGAAACUGGCAGGCUAGAGUCUUGGAGAGGGGGGUAGAAUUCCAGGUGUAGCGGUGAAAUGCGUAGAGAUCUGGAGGAAUACCGGUGGCGAAGGCGGCCCCCUGGACAAAGACUGACGCUCAGGUGCGAAAGCGUGGGGAGCAAACAGGAUUAGAUACCCUUGUAGUC